rnacentral:rRNA from 1 species
AUGAUUGAAGCUUGCUUCAUUGAUGGCGACCGGCGCACGGGUGAGUAACGCGUAUCCCACUUUCCGUACACUCAGGGAUAGCCUUUCGAAAGAAAGAUCUUACCUGAUGGUAUGAUGAUAUUGCAUGAUAACAUCAUUAAAGAUUUAUCGGUGUACGAUGGGGAUGCGUUCCAUUAGGUAGUAGGCGGGGUAACGGCCCACCUAGCCUACGAUGGAUAGGGGUUCUGAGAGGAAGGUCCCCCACAUUGGAACUGAGACACGGUCCAAACUCCUACGGGAGGCAGCAGUGAGGAAUAUUGGUCAAUGGACGAGAGUCUGAACCAGCCAAGUAGCGUGAAGGAUGAAGGUCCUACGGAUUGUAAACUUCUUUUAUAAGGGAAUAAAACCUCCCACGUGUGGGAGCUUGUAUGUACCUUAUGAAUAAGCAUCGGCUAACUCCGUGCCAGCAGCCGCGGUAAUACGGAGGAUGCGAGCGUUAUCCGGAUUUAUUGGGUUUAAAGGGAGCGCAGACGGGUCGUUAAGUCAGCUGUGAAAGUUUGGGGCUCAACCUUAAAAUUGCAGUUGAUACUGGCAGUCUUGAGUGCAGUAGAGGUGGGCGGAAUUCGUGGUGUAGCGGUGAAAUGCUUAGAUAUCACGAAGAACUCCGAUUG